CCUACGGGGGGCAGCAGUAGGGAAUCUUCCUCAAUGGGCGCAAGCCUGAUGGAGCAACACCGCGUGAGUGAAGAAGGGUUUCGGCUCGUAAAGCUCUGUUGUUGGAGAAGAACGUGCGUGAGAGUAACUGUUCACGCAGUGACGGUCUCCAACCAGUAAGUCACGGCUAACUACGUGCCAGCAGCCGCGGUAAUACGUAGGUGGCAAGCGUUAUCCGUAUUUAUUGGGCGUUAAGCGAGCGCAGGCGGGUGCUUAGGUAUGAUGUGAACGCCUUCGGCUUAACGGAAGAAGUGCAUCGGAAACCGGGCGACUUGAGUGCAGAAGAGGAGAGUGGAACUCGAGGUGUAGCGGUGGAAUGCGUAGAUAUAUGGAAGAACACCAGUGGCGAAGGCGGCUGUCUGGUCUGCAACUGACGCUGAGGCUCGAAAGCAUGGGUAGCGAACAGGAUUAGAUACCCCUGUAGUC
rnacentral:rRNA from 1 species